rnacentral:tRNA from 1 species
CAAAUUAAAACUAAAAUUUUAGUAUUUUAUUUACAAUAAAAAUUUAAUUGUGAAAAUCAAUUUAAUUUGA